rnacentral:lncRNA from 1 species
AAGAGACUCCAUUGACAACAAACACGGGGCAAACAGAAACACGAAAAGAUCUUAGCGCGGAAGCUUACUUCUUGGGGAAAUCAGAUAGUAGUUUACUAGUAAGCUCUAGUAUUCGUCUGCAAGUUUAGUUCAAGGUCAGUUAUUCAAGUGAAGUUCAAUUGUCUAGGUUCAUAGCGAGGGUUGCCCUUAUAUUAAGUUGGAGGAAGAAAUCUAGUCUAGGUCUAGUGCUUUAUAAGGUAUUUGUUCCAUUAUGAUCUUAGUAGUAAAUGCGGAAGAGGGAUAAUAAGCUACUUAGUUAUCAAAGGGGUUAGUGUCCGAAGAAGAAUGAAGUUGCUAAUAAAAACUCAAUUCGAAAAGGCAGGAGCUAAUUAUGGUAUGGAUAAGGGCGAUAAGAGGCCUCUAUAGUCAGUUGGGGAAGAAGAAAUUCCAUGCUUUUCAAGUUAAUGAGUUCUGGUAUGAAAUAGUUACUACUGCUCCUGUUCUUGUGGAAUCCCCAGUUGCAUCUGUGUUGACAAGUGGUAGUCCAAGUAGUAGUCCAACUGGUAGUGUAGUGGUAAAGUUCUGGUUCUUGACCAAGUCCUGUGUUCGGCUUCCAAGCCUGAUACCGGGGCAAGCCAAGACUUCAACAAGGGAGUGUAAGACGGAAAGACAUCUCUAAGGAAUGAGACCAGUGGUACUAAGCCUUAAGUCCUAUAGGAAGUCCACCAAUUCCCUGAUGCUAUAGUAAGAAUUCCACUAGUCAAGGCAAGAAUGAGAAACAAAGUAGACUGAGAGUUGAACUAGUGCAUCUCAGACUGAAAGCAAGGGCACAGGAGCCAGGUGCUCCAUAGUUAGAAUGAAAUCACUAACAACAAGAAU